GGCUGCACUUUGGCGCAGUUGGUAGCACUGUUGCCUUCGAGUGAGAAGGCGCUGGGUUCGAAUCCCAGCCUGGGGUCU